AGGGCGGCAAGCCAAAUUUGAACGGAUUUAGAUGGAUUUUGCUAUAUUAGAUAGAUAUUGACCGUACCAAUCAGGGAAAAAAAGUUUAUGAAAUUCGGUUCACCAUAGCGUGAACAAGGUCCCUUAGAGUGAGGUCAUAUCCGGCUACUCGGCCGUACAGUGAGCGUGGAGUAUUUUGUGAAUAUCUCGAGUAAAUUUUGAC